GAUGAAGAACGUAGCGAAAUGCGAUAAGUAAUGUGAAUUGCAGAAUUCCGUGAAUCAUCGAAUCUUUGAACGCACAUUGCGCCCGCCAGUAUUCUGGCGGGCAUGCCUGUUCGAGCGUCAUUUCAACCAUCAAGCCCCCCGGCUUGUGUUGGGGACCUGCGGCUGCCGCAGCCCCCUAAAUGCAGUGGCGGGCUCGUUGUCACUCCGAGCGCAGUAGCGUAUCUCGCUCUGGGCGUGGCGGCGGGUGCUAGCCGUGAAACACCCACUAAGGUUGACCUCGGAUCAGGUAGGAAUACCCGCUGAACUUAAGCAUAUCAAUAAGCGGAGGA
rnacentral:misc_RNA from 1 species